GAAUUUGAUUUUUUUAAAGCAUCGGUGGUAGAAUGCUCGUCUGCCACGCGGGCGGCCAGGGUUCGAUUCCCGGCCGAUGCA
rnacentral:tRNA from 1 species